UGAAAUCCUCCCCGUCCAUAGUUGUAAGCAACAAAGCACCGCCUGAAAAGGCUCUCUUAACAACGUAUGGACCUUCGUAGUUUGGAGUCCACUUGCCCCUGGAAUCGGGCGCGAAAGACAAGACUUUCUUGAGCACGAGGUCACCUUUUCGGAACACACGAGGCUUGACCUUCUUAUUGAAAGCUUUCUUCAUCCUUUGUUGAUAUAAC
rnacentral:lncRNA from 1 species